rnacentral:rRNA from 1 species
GUGGUCGGUGUACAGGUGGUGCAUGGUUGUCGUCAGCUCGUGUCGUGAGAUGUUGGGUUAAGUCCCGCAACGAGCGCAACCCUCGUCCUAUGUUGCCAGCGGGUCAUGCCGGGGACUCAUGGGAGACUGCCGGGGUCAACUCGGAGGAAGGUGGGGAUGACGUCAAAUCAUCAUGCCCCUUAUGUCUUGGGCUUCACGCAUGCUACAAUGGCCGGUACAAAGGGCUGCGAUACCGCGAGGUGGAGCGAAUCCCAGAAAGCCGGUCUCAGUUCGGAUUGGGGUCUGCAACUCGACCCCAUGAAGUCGGAGUCGCUAGUAAUCGCAGAUCAGCAACGCUGCGGUGAAUACGUUCCCGGGCCCUU